rnacentral:lncRNA from 1 species
CAAUUUUUCCCACCCCCCUAGGUAUAAAUAAUGAACGGUCCCUUAAUCAGUGGUCCAUAGCACAUAUGUAGUUCAGUGCUUGGUAACCAAGCCUUAAAGUGACCCCAACAAAUUUUUCUGCAUGCGUAAGUCGUAUGUUUGGCUGAUCCUAUUUUAUUAACUGUGGGCUGAUGUAAGCAGUUAUCUGUCUUGCGUUAAUUCACCGCUAUCACGCAAUAUAUGGUAAUUAUAUGGUAUUAUAUAAUAUUUAUUGAUUUCAUUGACUCAAUAGUUUCACGGAAUUUAAUUCUUAUCUAACGAUAAUUUCAUUGACUCAUCGACAAUACUGAAAAUACUUUUGUUGCAUCAUCUCAUCCGAACAGAACAUGCAACACCGCACGAACAGUUUAUUCACACUUGAUCAAAUUACUUGGGUCACAUGGAGAGAGGAGGGAUUUCCCUUGUGUAUGAAUGCUUCUAUAAAACGCGCAUUGACGUAGUUGUUUAUUUAUAUUCACACGAUCACAUGAUUCACAUCGGCUAAGAUUAACUAACCAGGCAUGCCUUCGUUAUUCGUUAUCACCUCACCAAUCUUAAGUGCAAAAACAUCGUUAUUGGUAAUAGCUUCGUUGUUCGUUCUAGCGAGUUCAUGUGGAAUUGGUACUCAUCAAAGUACUUUGAGCGGAGGAUGUGCCACCUGUCCUGACACUGCUGCAGGAUGCGACACAUUUAAACCACUGUAUAUGAAGGAUUACGAAAGCUGCAUGAAGUGUGGUAAGUA